rnacentral:rRNA from 1 species
GACGAACGCUGGCGGCGUGCCUAAUACAUGCAAGUCGAACGGACAGGCCCGGCUCUUGUGGCUUUCUCGAUAGGCGAACGGGUGUGUAUCACGCGAGUAACCCGCACCUGUCUUUGGGGUAACUCCAGGAAAAUCGGGCUCAUACCCGAUAUGAUCUCCUGCAGCACGGUGGGGGUUGGUAAGUUUCGGCGGUUGGGGCUCGACUCGCGGCUUAUCCGCUUGUUUGUGUGGUAGUGGCUUACCAAGGCUUUGACGGAUAGCCGGCCUGAGAGGGUGACCGGCCACAUUGCGCCUGAGAGACGGCCCAGACUCCUACGGGAGGCAACAGUGGGGAAUAUGGCACAGUGGGCGGAAGCCUGAUGCAGCAGCGCCGCGAGCGGAAAAACGACCUACGGGGUAUGAACCGCUUUGGACUGUGACGAGGCGUGCGUGACGGUAAUGGGUAAGGAAGCACCGGCUAACUACGUG